AACGUAAUUUUGAAAAAGCUCGUCAUCUUCCUCAGCAGAGUCUACUUCAGAAUAAGGCGAUGAAGAUUCAGAGGGCCUUGCACUGUCAAGAGGAGCAAACUCGAUAUCUCGAGAGACUCGCUCAGGAACAUUAGUAAAGGGUCGUUUAUGUUGAAGAGGACUAGAAGUGGCUGAAGUUUGUAGACGAUGUGAUAUUUUGGGAGACCUCAAUUGUGGAGAAAAAUUGUUUGAAGAUGAAAGCAGCUUUAACCUCUCCGAAAAUGCUGGCGAAGUAUGUAAAGCAGAGCUAUCCAUAAAUGACAUAGGAACAGCUACCCUAUGAGAUUUAUGCGAGCGAAAUUUUGGUGUAGACGCGUGGGCUGGCGGAGUUUUCAUAGUCAGCGAUGUUUCCACAUUAGGGCUCAAUUCAGAAUAGGACUGAAAGGUAUUAUUUUGAGAGACGUGCGGAGACUCUAUUUUAACCGGGGUUUCAAUGUUGCUAGGUUUGUCAAUGAAUUGUGGAGACAGAAGCGGUUCUGUUUCGUUGUGUGGCUUUUUCGUGCUUUUGGAAGGAGAGGAGGGAUAAAGGUAUUUAGGAGCUAUUUCAUCCUCGGAGCUAGACGCUUUUGAGGUGUUAGAGUUUUCCUCUUUUUGAAGAUGAGACAAUAAAUGUUGUGGA